GGUCGACGAUUAGAGUUUGAUCAUGGCUCAGGAUGAACGCUGGCGGCAUGCCUAAUGCAUGCAAGUCGAACGGGGGAGUGGCCUUCGGGCCUGUCCCUAGUGGCUAACGGCUGAGUAAUGCACAGGUAACCUACCCCUAAGUGGGGGAUAACCUUUCGAAAGAAGGGCUAAUACUGCAUGUGAUUCCCCUGAGAAAUCGAGGGAAUGAAAGCCUUCGGGUGCUUAGGGAGGGGCUUGUGUCCUAUCAGGUAGUUGGUAGGGUAAUAGCCUACCAAGCCAAAGACGGGUAGCUGGUCUAAGAGGAUGGUCAGCCAGACGGGGAAUGAGAGACGGCCCCGACUCCUACGGGAGGCAGCAGCAAGGGAUAUUGCGCAAUGGGCGAAAGCCUGACGCAGCGAUGCCGCGUGGGGGAAGAAGGCCUUCGGGUUGUAAACCCCUUUUCUUGGUGAAGAGGAAGGACGGUAACCAGGGAAUAAGCCUCGGCUAACUACGUGCCAGCAGCCGCGGUAAUACGUAGGAGGCGAGCGUUAUCCGGAAUCAUUGGGCGUAAAGGGCGUGUAGGUGGCCCCUUAAGUUGGCGGUGAAAUCUUCCGGCUCAACCGGGAGGGGACGGCCAAAACUGAGGAGCUUGAGGGCAGCAGAGGGAGGUGGAAUUCCCGGUGUAGCGGUGAAAUGUGUAGAUAUCGGGAGGAACACCAGUGGCGAAGGCGGCCUCCUGGGCUGCCCCUGACGCUGAGGCGCGAAAGCGUGGGGAGCGAAGCGGAUUAGAUACCCGCGUAGUCCACGCCCUAAACGGUGGACACUAGGUAUAGGGGGUAUCGACCCUCUCUGUGCCGAAGCUAACGCUUUAAGUGUCCCGCCUGGGGACUACGGCCGCAAGGCUAAAACUCAAAGGAAUUAACGGGGGCCCGCACAAGCAGCGGAGCGUGUGGUUUAAUUCGAUGCAACACGAAGAACCUUACCAAGGCUUGACAUGCUGGUGGUAGGGACCCGAAAGGGCGACGACUCGCUUCGGCGAGAGCCAGCACAGGUGCUACAUGGCUGUCGUCAGCUCGUGCCGUGAGGUGUCGGGUUAAGUCCCAUAACGAGCGCAACCCUCGCCCUGUGUUACUCUCUCACCGGGGACUGCCCAGAAAUUCUGGGAGGAAGGUGGGGAUGACGUCAAGUCAGCAUGGCCCUUAUGCCUUGGGCAACACACACGCUACAAUGGGUGGUACAGAGGGUAGCCAAAGAGCAAUCUGGAGCUAAUCCCAGAAAACCAUCCCCGGUUCGGAUUGCAGGCUGAAACCCGCCUGCAUGAAGGUGGAGUUGCUAGUAACCGCAGGUCAGCAUACUGCG
rnacentral:rRNA from 1 species